rnacentral:rRNA from 1 species
UUGACGGGGGCCCGCACAAGCGGAGGAACAUGUGGCUUAAUCGAUGAUACGCGAGGAACCUUACCAGGGCUUAAAUGUAGAGCGACAGAUUGUGAAAGCAGUCCUUCUUCGGACGAUCUACAAGGUGCUGCAUGGUUGUCGUCAGCUCGUGCCGUGAGGUGUCGGGUUAAGUCCCAUAACGAGCGCAACCCUUAUCGUUAGUUGCCAGCUGGUAAAGCAGGGGACUCUAGCGAAACUGCCACCGUAAGGUGAGAGGAAGUGGGAUGACGUCAAAUCAGCACGGCCCUUAUGUCCAGGGCUACACACGUGUUACAAUGGCCGGCACAGAGGGCAGCUACCUGGUGACAGGAUGCUAAUCUCGAAAACCGGUCUCAGUUCGGAUCGAAGUCUGCAACUCGACUUCGUGAAGCUGGAUUCGCUAGUAAUCGCGCAUCAGCCAUGGCGCGGUGAAUACGUUCCCGGGCCUU